UCGUUCCUUCGGGGCAGGGUGAGGCGUUAGCCAAUUCCCGAUCGGUGGUGACAUGGCAAUAUCCAUGAAGUCCACGAGCCGACAGGUAUGUUGCAGUCAUAUGGCUGCGCAGCCCACAAUGGCAUGAACUGGUGAGAUUCCAGUACCGACGGUAUAGUCCGGAUGAAAGAAGGAGAAC
rnacentral:ncRNA from 2 species